rnacentral:rRNA from 1 species
AUGCUGAGGCUCCUCUCCUGGUCCUUGAUGGCCUUGGCGGUGGCGACGAUGAACGGGAGAUCGACCGCGGGAAGUCGUAAAGCGAGCGGUGUGUGCCAUGAACUCCGCUUCCUUGGCAUCCAAGUUGGUUUCUUCUGUGGGAUUGCGCUUUUUCGCCAGGGAAGAAGAUACAGAGAUGCUUGUGCGGCGCAGGUUUUCCUGGAAAGUAUUAUUCAGUUUUCCUGGAAAGUUUUCUGGAAGGAAGGUGGACGUAGACUGGACACAACACAACAGAAAAUGCAGGUGCUGUGCAUAUCAUCAUCCUUGCCGCCUACUCCUUCUCCCACCUGUCAUUUUCUGCUGUGUGUACCGUUUCCUGUGCUGUCCAUUCUUGAUAUGGCGCCAUGA